rnacentral:rRNA from 1 species
UACAGAGGGUGCAAGCGUUAAUCGGAAUUACUGGGCGUAAAGCGUGCGUAGACGGUUGCGUAAGUCAGAUGUGAAAGCCCCGGGCUCAACCUGGGAAUUGCAUUUGAGACUGCGCAGCUAGGGUGCGGAAGAGGGAAGCGGAAUUUCCGGUGUAGCGGUGAAAUGCGUAGAUAUCGGAAGGAACACUAGUGGCGAAAGCGGCUUCCUGGUCCAGCACCGACGUUCAGGCACGAAAGCGUGGGGAGUAAACAGG